rnacentral:rRNA from 1 species
GGGGGGACCAUCCUCCAAGGCUAAAUACUCCUGACUGACCGAUAGCGAACAAGUACCGUGAGGGAAAGGCGAAAAGAACCCCGGAGAGGGGAGUGAAAUAGACCCUGAAACCGUAUACGUACAAGCAGUGGAAGCCCGCAAGGGUGACUGCGUACCUUUUGUAUAAUGGGUCAGCGACUUACUGUCAGUGGCGAGCUUAACCGUCUAGGGGAGGCGAAGGGAAACCGAGUCUGAAUAGGGCGCAUAGUCUCUGGCAGUAGACCCGAAACCGAGUGAUCUAUCCUUGGCCAGGUUGAAGGUGCGGUAACACGCACUGGAGGACCGAACCCACAUCUGUUGCAAUAGAUGGGGAUGAGCUGAGGAUAGGAGUGAAAGGCUAAACAAACUCGGAGAUAGCUGGUUCUCCUCGAAAGCUAUUUAGGUAGCGCCUCGGACGAAUCUUCCUGGGGGUAGAGCACUGUUAUGGCUAGCGGGUCAUCGCGACUUAGCAAACCAUGGCAAACUCCGAAUACCAGGACAGACUAUCCGGGAGACACACGGCGGGUGCUAACGUCCGUCGUGAAAAGGGAAACAACCCAGACCCGCAGCUAAGGUCCCCAAGUUAGUGCUAAGUGGAAAACGAUGUGGAAAGGCAUAGACAGCCAGGAGGUUGGCUUAGAAGCAGCCACCCUUUAAAGAAAGCGUAAUAGCUCACUGGUCGAGUCGGUCUGCGCGGAAGAUUUAACGGGGCUAAGCACUACACCGAAGCUCGGGGUGCACACUUUGUGUGCGCGGUAGAGGAGCGUUCCGUACGCCUGUGAAGGUGGAUCGAGAGGUCUGCUGGAGGUAUCGGAAGUGCGAAUGCUGACAUGAGUAACGAUAAUGCGGGUGAAAAGCCCGCACGCCGAAAGCCCAAGGUUUCCUCGCGCAACGUUCAUCGGCGCAGGGUGAGUCGGCCCCUAAGGCGAGGCAGAAAUGCGUAGUCGAUGGGAAGCUGGUUAAUAUUCCAGCACUUUUCUUAAGUGCGAUGUGGGGACGGAGAAGGUUAGGUCUACCGGGCGUUGGUUGUCCCGGGGAAAGGCGGUAGGCAUGCAUCUUAGGCAAAUCCGGGAUGCUUUAUGCCGAGCACCGAGACGAGCCCUAUUGGGCGAAGUGACUGAGACCACGCUUCCAGGAAAAGCCACUAAGCUUCAGCUUAAGAAAAACCGUACCGUAAACCGACACUGGUAGGCAGGGUGAGAAUCCCAAGGCGCUUGAGAGAACUCGGGUGAAGGAACUAGGCAAAAUGGCACCGUAACUUCGGGAGAAGGUGCGCCCAUCGGGGUGGCUACAUGCGUAGCUGAGCUCUGAUGGGUCGCAGUAACCUGGCCGCUGCGACUGUUUAUCAAAAACACAGCACUCUGCAAACACGAAAGUGGACGUAUAGGGUGUGACGCCUGCCCGGUGCUGGAAGGUUAAUUGAUGGGGUCAGCCGCAAGGCGAAGCUCUUGAUCGAAGCCCCAGUAAACGGCGGCCGUAACUAUAACGGUCCUAAGGUAGCGAAAUUCCUUGUCGGGUAAGUUCCGACCUGCACGAAUGGCGUAACGACAGCGGCGCUGUCUCCACCCGAGACUCAGUGAAAUUGAAAUCGCUGUGAAGAUGCAGCGUUCCCGCGGCAAGACGGAAAGACCCCGUGAACCUUUACUAUAGCUUUACACUGAACGUUGAGUUCUUCUGUGUAGGAUAGGUGGGAGGCUUUGAAGCGCAGACGCCAGUUUGCGUGGAGCCAUCCUUGAAAUACCACCCUGAAGUGCUUGACGUUCUAACCUAGGCCCGUAAUCCGGGUCAGGGACCGUGUAUGGUGGGUAGUUUGACUGGGGCGGUCUCCUCCCAAAGCGUAACGGAGGAGCACGAAGGUACGCUCAGCGCGGUCGGACAUCGCGCACUGUGUGCAAAGGCAUAAGCGUGCUUGACUGCAAGAUCGACGGAUCAAGCAGGUACGAAAGUAGGUCUUAGUGAUCCGGUGGUUCUGUAUGGAAGGGCCAUCGCUCAACGGAUAAAAGGUACUCCGGGGAUAACAGGCUGAUACCGCCCAAGAGUUCAUAUCGACGGCGGUGUUUGGCACCUCGAUGUCGGCUCAUCACAUCCUGGGGCUGUAGCCGGUCCCAAGGGUAUGGCUGUUCGCCAUUUAAAGUGGUACGCGAGCUGGGUUCAGAACGUCGUGAGACAGUUCGGUCCCUAUCUGUCGUGGGCGUUGGAGAUUUGAGGGGGG